AAUCUGUGCUGUGGGUACUUCUGCAAAAGAUCCUUGAAGCGCUCCCAUGUCUCAAACAAUAACUCUAGCUCCAUCUACACAAACAACGAUAACUCAUUGCCAAGCUU